UUUUUUCUUUCGUUCGUGGCUUCGCGCACAUGUCUCGGGCUGCCAUGAAGUUUAGGAACAAAUUAAGAACAAAGUGAAACAUUAAUACAAGUGACAGCCUCUAUAGCUAAGCAACAGAAAAGUUUUCAACGCUUCAGUAUUUGAAAGUCCCUGCCAAACACCCGAAGGAGAGGCGGUUGCUUUUAGAGAUUUCCUGUCUGCUGCCGCCACCUUGAGGAUUCAAAUGGAAUGGAUUCAGCGCUUUCCCUGAUUCCGAGUAUAUUCAUUCUACAACUCAACUGAGACAGGACCACGAACAGAUCCACAGCACCCAAUUCCAAGUCUUUC